UACAGAGGGGGGCAAGCGUUGUUCGGAAUUACUGGGCGUAAAGGGCGCGUAGGCGGCCCGCUAAGUCGAAACGUGAAAUCCCCCGAGCUCAACUCGGGAACUGCGUCCGAUACUGGUGGGCUUGAAUCCGGGAGAGGGAUGCGGAAUCCAGGUGUAGCGGUGAAAUGCGUAGAUAUCUGGAGGAACACCGGGUGGCGAAGGCGGCAUCCUGGACCGGCAUUGACGCUGAGGCGCGAAAGCGUGGGGAGCAAACGGG
rnacentral:rRNA from 1 species